rnacentral:tRNA from 1 species
GGGGCCAUAGCUCAGUUGGGAGAGCGUCUGAAUGGCAUUCAGAAGGUCGUCGGUUCGAUCCCGAUUGGCUCCACCA